rnacentral:rRNA from 1 species
GACAGAGGGUGCGAGCGUUAAUCGGAAUUACUGGGCGUAAAAGGCGCGUAGGCGGUGAGGAGCUGUGUGAUGUGAAAGCCCCGGGCUUAACCUGGGAAGUGCAUUGCAAACUACCUGACUGGAGUAGAGUAGAGGGUGUUAGAAUUUCCGGUGUAGCGGUGAAAUGCGUAGAGAUCGGAAGGAAGGCCGAUGGCGAAGGCAGGCACCUGGACUUUAACUGACGCUGAGGCGCGAAAGCGUGGGGAGCGAACAGG